UACGUAGGGGGCUAGCGUUGUCCGGAAUCAUUGGGCGUAAAGAGCGCGUAGGCGGCCAGAUAAGUCCGGUGUGAAAGUCACAGGCUCAACCUGUGAAUGCCGCUGGAAACUGUCUGGCUAGAGUCCGGAAGGGGCGAGUGGAAUUCCUGGUGUAGCGGUGAAAUGCGCAGAUAUCAGGAGGAACACCAAUGGCGAAGGCAGCUCGCUGGGACGGUACUGACGCUGAGACGCGAAAAGCGUGGGGGAGCGAACAGG
rnacentral:rRNA from 1 species